rnacentral:piRNA from 1 species
UCCUUUAGGAGAGGGCAAUGGGCCUCGGG